AAAGCACUUUAAGUUGGGAGGAAGGGCAUUAACCUAAUACGUUAGUGUUUUGACGUUACCGACAGAAUAAGCACCGGCUAACUCUGUGCCAGCAGCCGCGGUAAUACAGAGGGUGCAAGCGUUAAUCGGAAUUACUGGGCGUAAAGCGCGCGUAGGUGGUUUGUUAAGUUGAAUGUGAAAUCCCCGGGCUCAACCUGGGAACUGCAUCCAAAACUGGCAAGCUAGAGUAUGGUAAAGGGUGGUGGAAUUUCCUGUGUAGCGGUGAAAUGCGUAAAUAUAGGAAGGAACACCAGUGGCGAAGGCGACCACCUGGACUGAUACUGACACUGAGGUGCGAAAGCGUGGGGAGCAAACAGGAUUAAAUACCCUGGUAGUCCACGCCGUAAACGAUGUCAACUAGCCGUUGGGAGCCUUGAGCUCUUAGUGGCG
rnacentral:rRNA from 1 species